AUGAGGCGUGAGUACCUAGUUGGCUUCGCGCUCAUAGUCGCCGGGCUCUGGCCGCUGCCCGCGGCUGCGCAGAAGUACGCCGCUAUCUUCAACUUUGGCGACUCCCUCGCCGACGCCGGCAACCUCGUCGCGGAUGGCAUCCCGGAUUACCUCGCCACGGCGCGCCUGCCGUAUGGCAUGACGUACUUCGGGUACCCGACGGGGCGCGUCUCCGACGGCCGCCUCGUCGUCGACUUCAUCGCGCAGGAGCUGGGCCUGCCACUGCUACCGCCGUCCAAGGCGCACAACGCGUCGUUCCACCGUGGUGCCAACUUCGCGAUCACCGGCGGCACGUCGCUGGACACGAGCUUCUUUGAGGCGCGUGGCAUGAGGCACACGGUCUGGAACUCCGGCUCCCUGCACACCCAGCUCAAGUGGUUUCAAGACAUGAAGCCAUCCAUCUGCAACUCCCCAAAAGAGUGCAGGGACCUGUUCAGGCGGUCGCUGUUCAUCGUCGGCGAGUUUGGCGGGAACGAUUACGCGGCGGCGCUCGGCGCGUUCCUCCCGGUGCAGAAGGUGCACACGUUCGUGCCGCACAUCGUCGACUCCAUCGGCAAGGGAAUCGAGAAGCUGAUCGCGGAGGGGGCGGUGGAGCUGGUGGUGCCGGGCGUGCUGCCGAUCGGCUGCUUCCCCGUGUACCUGUCCAUCUUCCUCAAGCAGCGGCCGGAGAUGUACGGCCCGCGCAGCGGCUGCAUCAAGGACCUUAACACGCUGUCCUGGGUGCACAACGCCCUGCUGCAGCGCAAGAUCGCCGAGCUCCGGAAGAAGCACCCCGGCGUGCGCAUCAUGUACGCCGACUACUACACCGCCGUCACGCAGUUCGUCCUGCGCGCCGAGAAGUGGGGGUUCCUGAAGCAGACUCCGAGGACAUGCUGCGGCGCGCCGGGCGUGGGGGUGUACAACUUCAACCUGACGUCCAAGUGCGGCGAGCCAGGCGCUUACGCCUGCGACGACCCAUCAAACCACUGGAACUGGGAUGGCGUCCACCUCACGGAGGCAGCCUACGGCCACAUCGCCAAGGGAUGGCUCUACGGGCCCUUCGCCGACCCGCCCAUCCUAGAGGCAAAGGCAACAUUAGAACUUACGGAGUAG
rnacentral:rRNA from 1 species